rnacentral:rRNA from 1 species
UCCGGAAUUACUGGGCGUAAAGAGNUCGUAGGUGGUUUGUUGCGUNGUCUGUGAAAUUCCGGGGCUUAANUUCGGGGUGGCAGGCGAUACGGGCAUAACUAGAGUGCUGUAGGGGAGACUGGAAUUCCUGUGUAGCGGUGGAAUGCGCAGAUAUCAGGAGGAACACCGAUGGCGAAGGCAGGUCUCUGGGCAGUAACUGACGCUGAGGAGCGAAAGCAUGGGGAGCGAACAGGAUUAGAUACCCUGGUAGUCCAUGCUGUAAACGGUGGGCGUUAGGUGUGGGGACCGGUUUGGUUUCUGUGCCGUAGCUAACGCAUUAAGCGCCCCGCCUGGGGAGUACGGCCGCAAGGCUAAAACUCAAAGGAAUUGACGGGGGCCCGCACAAGCGGCGGAGCAUGUGGAUUAAUUCGAUGCAACGCGAAGAACCUUACCUGGGUUUGACAUGCACCAGACGGUUGUAGAGAUACGUACCUCCCUUUGUGGUUGGUGUGCAGGUGGUGCAUGGUUGUCGUCAGCUCGUGUCGUGAGAUGUUGGGUUAAGUCCCGCAACGAGCGCAACCCUUGUCUUAUGUUGCCAGCACUUUGGGUGGGGACUCAUGAGAGACUGCCGGGGUUAACUCGGAGGAAGGUGGGGAUGACGUCAAAUCAUCAUGCCCUUUAUGCCCAGGGCUUCACACAUGCUACAAUGGUUAGUACAACGCGCUGCGAGCCUGUGAGGGUGAGCGAAUCGCUGAAAGCUAAUCUCAGUUCGGAUUGGGGUCUGCAACUCGACCCCAUGAAGUCGGAGUCGCUAGUAAUCGCAGAUCAGCAAUGCUGCGGUGAAUACGUUCCCGGGCCUUGUACACACCGCCCGUCACGUCAUGAAAGUUGGUAACACCCGAAGCCCAU